AGGUCCCAAGGGUUUGGCUGUUCGCCAAUUAAAGUGGUACGCCGGUACGUGAGCUGGGUUUAGAACGUCGUGAGACAGUUCGGUCCCUAUCUGCCGUGGGCGCUGGAUAUUUGAAGGGGGCUGCUCCUAGUACGAGAGGACCGGAGUGGACGCAUCACUGGUGUUCGGGUUGUCAUGCCAAUGGCACUGCCCGGUAGCUAAAUGCGGAAGAGAUAAGUGCUGAAAGCAUCUAAGCACGAAACUUGCCCCGAGAUGAGUUCUCCCUGACUCCUUAGACUCCUGAAGGAACGUUG
rnacentral:rRNA from 13 species